AGGGGUGUAGUUCAACGGUAGAAUACGAGUCUCCAAAACUUGUGACGAAGGAUCAACACCUUCCACCCCUG
rnacentral:tRNA from 1 species